rnacentral:lncRNA from 1 species
AUGGUGGCAAGAGGUCUAUGGGUGAGGAGGAAGCUUGGGAAGAGGAGGAAAUGGCUUCUUAUGGUGAUGAAAUGGAGGGAUCUUUGGGAUGGGAGGGAUAGGCUUGUAGAAUACUGGUGGUUUAGGUUUCUUGAAUAUUGGAAUAUGAGGUGGAAGUGGCUUCUUGAAUAUUGGAAUAUGAGGUGGAAGUGGCUUCUUGAAUAUUGGGAUCAGUGGUUUCUUAAAAAGUGGAAUAGGAGGUGGAAGUGGUUUCUCAAAUUUUGGAAUCGGCGGCGGCAAUGGUUUCUUGUAAAUCGGAAUAGGUGGUGGAAGUGGUUUCUUGUAAAUUGGUAUUGGAGGAGGCAAUGGUUUCUUGUAAAUUGGUAUUGGAGGCGGAAGUGGCUUCUUAUAAACUGGUAUCGGCGGUGGAAGUGGCUUCUUAAAAAUGGGUAUUGGCGGUGGAAGUGGUUUCUUAAAAAUGGGUAUCGGCGGAGGAAGUGGUUUCUUAAAAAUGGGAACAUGAGGAGGGUAAACUUUGGGAGGCAGUGGAGGAAACACUUUAGCACCAAAGAACAAUGGCUGAUCAACUACAUCUUGUGUCUUAUCAUCGCCAUAGCUGAAAGAGGCAGCAAACACCAAAGAAACAAAUAAGCACAGAAGUGCUCCUCUAAAAACAGAGAGAAUUCUCAUUGGGAACUAAUCUUGAUGGCUCCUUAAAGAAAACCAAGGAAGUGAUGGAGGACUUGUUGCAGACAAUUAGCUUCUUAUAUAGUAUGUUAAAGGAAGUGAUAGGACAUAUGACAAGCUCAACUGCACAUAAUUAAGGCCUCAAAUGCUGGAAACAAGUGAAGGCUUAGUCCCAAAGCUAACAUAAAUAUCAUUACAUUAACAUUUUCCUAAUCUGACGGCUGCUUUUCACAUUCAUAAGAGCUCUAGCUCUAUCUAAUUUUAUAAAUAUAAUUAUUAUUAUGUCUCUAUAAUUUAAAUAAAUUAUCAUUGUAUUUUAUAAAUUAAUUAAAAAAUAUUUAUAAGUUAAUUUAAUACCAUUCAAUUUAAGACCGUCUAACCCUAAUCCAUCAAUAAAUAAAAAUUUUCUAACUCUAUAAUUACCUUUCAAACCUAUCUCCAUCUUUAAAGCCUACCUAACUAUCGCAUCAGCUAAGGUGGCAAAUUUUAAUACUCACUCUAUUUUAUAAAUAUAAAUUUAUUUUAAUUUUUCAUUUAUCAUAAUUUUUUUUUAAAUUAUAGUUUAUUUAUUAAUUUAUUAAUAUAUUUAUAUUUAAUAUUUAUUAAAAAAUAAAAUUCAUAAAUUUUUAAAAUAAUUUAGUAAUUUGAGUUGUCAUUGUUUUUUUUUACCAAAAAUAAAAUUACUUCAUUGAAAGAGGAGUACAAUACAAGAACCCAUAAAAAUUAAUCUAAAACAAAAGCACUAAGCCCACACUUGAUCUGCCUAUAAUAGAACUAAACCCCGUAUAAUAGUAAAAACCCUAGAGAACUGAGUUAAAUCGACUCGAGAGAGCAACUCUGAUCAAGAAGCAGAGUAUCACUGCAUUGGCAUCCUUGCCAGGGAGAUGAGACUAAACACGUUGCUAAUGACUUUGCCACCACUCUCCAACACUCAACAAGGUAAGCGACUCUAUUAAGCAAAAAGAAAGAUAAUCACCAAGAGCCCUCACAGUCGAGAACCAAAAAAUUCAGGGAAACAACAAAGGGCCACAGAAAAUCAGGGACCAAAAGGAUCUUUAGGCAACUUGGCAAUGCUCCUUGGCAGUCUUAGUCAUUUGAGGGACCGAAUGUUGCACUCACAUGAUGGCAUUAGUGGUGUUCCCAAAGUUACUAUGAUCAAAAGCAAAUAGAAAAUUCGAAGAUCCCAGAGGAAGAGGUCGAUUCAACAUCAGCGCAGCCUGAAACUCUUCCAGAAAAAGGCUUUGGGACUUCCCAAUACUCCCAUGUAGAGUGGAUAAUCUUUUAUAGAGCACACUUGCAAGACAAAUAAACAAACCAAAAGAUAUAUAAAAAUUAAUGAAAUUUUUUUUUAUGUUUUAGAAUGAAAAUUAAUGAAAAAAAUUAAUGUAAAAGUAGAAUUAAAUUUAUGUUUUAGAAAAUUUUUUUUAUAAGAAUAAAAAAUUUAUUGUAUAAAAAUUAAUGAAAUAAAAAAUAUAUAUAUCCCAUAUGAAUUUCUAUAUAUAACUUAACAUAAUAUUUUAAUUGUUAAUCUAAUAAAAAAAUAUGUUCUUAAUAUAUGUAAUCAGAUAAUAUAUAACAAAGUAUUAAUAUUCAAUUUUAUUAUAUAAUUAAUUAUUCACUAUUUUUAUACUAGAGAAUAUUUUUUUAAUAGAUAUAAUGGUAACAUAUAACAUCAUAUAUUAAAAUUAGAAGUUUAUAAAUUAAAAGAUAUAAAAUAUAUUUAUUUUUUUAUUAUUUUUAAUAAUAUCAUUAAUACUGGUCACGGUAAAAAUCUUUAAUUCAAUUCAAAUUAAUAUAACUAAAUAAGUCAAAUUAAAAAAAAAGGUGACGUUUUUUUAAAUUUGUUAAAAGAGCGGGAGGUACAUAUUAAUUUUAAAUUAUAAAAUAAAAAAAUAAAAGAAAAUUUUAAAAUAAAAUAAAAAUAAGGUGGGAAUUGCCAUCUUCAAUUACAUGUUGCUUCGCCAGUGGCUUCAACGAGAGCAAUCCCUGCUUCUUAGCCCUAUUUCUAGUCUGCAUGCCCAACUACAUAGGCAUGAAUAAUGAACCAAAUUAACAGCAAUAGCGGCGACAAUCUCUUCCCAACAAGUUUCUAAAAUAGUGUUGAACUUGCAUUUUCCUUUGAACUCGAGAUGUAAGGCUAAAAGGAUGAAAAAGGUCAGAACAAGCAUACAAGUGAAUGGUGUGGCUGAGGCACAGUGUUUUUCUUUUUUCUUUUUUUUUUUUCUUUUACCAUAUCACUAGGAAGACUCACUUUGAACUUUCCUUCUUCAUCAAGCUCAACAGAGAUCUCCUUGUUUUGAACUUUCCAUUUUCUACCUUGCAAUCAGUUGUUACAUGAAGCCCAGCAACAAAUCAAUAAUGCAUAAGAUAUCAUCUUCAAAAUAUAGUGCAAAAUCAUAGGUUAGCACUCUUUAACAUUAUCCAAUGAGCUUUCACACAGUGGUGCGAGUGAGAUAUCGAGUUUAAAUUCUAACUAAAAAUAAUAAUAAAAAAAUAAUGAGAUUUAACUCGAUAAUAUUAGUCAUUUUCAAAAUUAUUAAGUUCUCAAAUUUAUAUUAAAAAAAUCAUGAAAAGUUAUUUAUGAGUUCGAAUUUAAGUUCAACUUAAUUUUUUUUUUAAAAAAAAUUAAAGCUAAUCCAUAUUAAAAUUAUAAUUCAUGAUUAGAACUAAUAUGAUAUUUGUCUCUUAAUUUGGAGACAACUUUAGUUUCAAUGUUAGAUAAAUAAAACUUUUACAUAUGGAGAGAUGAAUUAGUCUCGUGGUAGGCAAUGGUGAUAAUUUAAAAAAUUAAAGACAUUCAUUCAUAUAAAUAGAAAUGACUCUCAAAAUUAUCCACCGAUGACCGUUGGCUUAUUGACACCCAAGUCUCAGUCGAAUCCUUAUAGGAGAAUCAGAUCCAAGACCUUCAGAGUCCACUACGCAAGCUGGCCCAUAGCAUACAAUCAAGUCUAUGAUUGAAGCAGGCCGGCUGACCAGGGGCCAGACUUAUCAAGGAGGAACUCAGCUCAUCUGAUGUGAUGGGGUAGGAGAGUAAACGCAGCUAUCCACGACUCUAUCAGCACUAGCGUCGGAAUGGAAUUAAAUGACUGUUUGACGAUGUUAGGCAAGUAGGUAUGCCCGUACGUACAGUUCUGUAUAAUAGUGACAGGUGAUACUCUAACAGGGCAAUUAUACGUCAGUAGAGAAUAAAGGAAAAAAGAAUUAAAAGAGGGAGGUCUGAACCAUUCAUGCCAAAUUUACUAAUUCAUAUUAAAAUCCUAUUUUUUUUGAAUUUCAGAUUAUCAUCCAUUAAAAAUUUGAGAUGCUAGAUAAUUUUUAUCAUUUUCUAAAUGAUUUCUAUAAUUUUAAAAGUCAGUCGGUUUUAUUUUUUUAUAUAAUAUUAGUAGAAAUAAAGGAAAAAUUAAAAAAAAAAAUUUUACAAAAUAACAAAUAAUUUGGGAUAAAACAACUUGAUGACAAGAGUAUAUACCUAGAAAGAGCAUACAUAUGAUUCAGAAAAAAAAAAUAUAUAUAUAUAUAUAUAUAUAUAUUUUUCCUCAAAGUCCUAUGAUUCAGAAUAUUUUCAAUUCCAUCUUGUGUAUCUCCUAAAUAGAAAUGCACAUAGCUGAAAGUGCCUGGCUGGUCUUAACGUUGCUUCCUUCACAGUCUGAACAUUCUCCUAUUCUAACUACUAUGCGGAGUGCUCCUCCCAAAAAAAGGAAGAAUCCGCAUUGGAAACCACACCAAUGCCCUAGCCUCCUGAAAUCAACAACACCUCACAAAAUUAAAGCCAACCUAAAUUAUUUCAUAUAACUUUUAUAUAUAUAAAACUAUAUAUUAGUUGUUAUUAUAAGGAAUGGAUUCGUAAAGCAAUUAAGCACACCCUGCGAUGCCCAAGUACUUAUUACAUGAGGCUGUAUAUGGACCCUAUGAGAUAAGCUUGUUUACGGUUUGAAUAUGACAGUAACGUGCACAUACCACCUUCUUCAAAUCAAAGCAUUAUCUUUCAUUCAAUGUGCUCUCAACUGUAAAACCUACUUAUCAUUUCCUCAUUAAUAUACUUUACCUUUAACAUACCAUGAAAUGCUCAUACUUGAAGGCAUGCAACAAAAAAAUAAAAUUAUACCCAAAUUUUGAUUUGACUAAUUUUUUAUUGUUUCAAUUUCUAUUCGAUAUGAUUCUCAAUUUUUCGGUUCAAUAUGAUUUCAGUUCUAAUUCUUCAUUCUUCAUAUAAAUUUAUACAUUUUUUAUAAAAAAUUAUAUUUAUUUAUACUUAAAUUAUCGUUUAAAUUUUAAAGUUAGUUAUUAAUAUAAAUUAUAUGAUAUAAUACAUAUUUAAACAAUUUACAAUUUAUAUAAAGUGUAUAAAUAUACAAAAUUAACCAUGAAAAUGAUAAUAUAAUUAUAUCAUUUAAUAUAUAUUUUAAUUACAUUUCUAUUAUAUUAUUUAAGUAACAGAUGACUAAAUAUAUUAUAAAUAUGGUAGUACAUUUUUAAUUAAGCAAGAUAAAUAAUUUAAUAUUUUUAUAAUCGAAGUUAUUAAGAAAAUGUAUAUGAAUAUAAAAUAAUCAUAGUAUGUAAAUUGUUCAUAAUUUUAAUGUAUAUACACAUAAUGUAAUAUUAAUGCGUAAAAAUAAAUAUAAUAUUAUUUAUAGUAUAUAAUAUAUCUAAAAGUUAUAAAAAAAAUAUGUGUAUAAAAUUAAAUUUCAAUUUGCUAUGAAUUCGAUAUAAUUUUAAUUAAGACGGUCCCAAAAUAAAUAUAAUUUUAAUUAAUACAGUCCCAAAAUAGUUUUAAUUCGCUUUUUCAUUGAAGAAGUAGAAUUAAAUCCAAACUAUAAAAUCAAUUUGAAUCGAUAUAAUUUUUAAUAUUUUCUUAUCAUUUUUUUAAAUCGGUACAAAACUCAACGAUAACUCAAAUAUAUAGUAAAAAAGGGAAAAAUACUGGUCGCCGAAAAAACAUCAAAAUUCAAAUAAAAUUAAAAACAUUGUAAGAUAAAUAUUAGAUGGACGUUGAAGAAUGAAGAUAAAUUACAAUGUGAUUGUGAGUACAAUGUAAUUAUGUAUGCCAUUUUGUCAACCAAAAAUUAAUUAGGUAUUUCGAAAAAGCGAAAAUAAGUUGAAUUAAAUCUCCAUAUUUUUUAAGGAUUAAAUAAGUUUAAUUAUUCAAGUUUCUAUAUUUUUAUUAAGAGUUAAAUAAAUCUUAAAUAAUAUAAUAUUAUUUUUUAAUAAUAAAAUAUUAUUUUAAUAAUUUAAAAAUAAAAAGUUUAGUACUUUCAUUUCUAUAAAAAUUUAAAAAAUACAUAGAUACAAUAAAUAAUUUUUAAAAUUAUAAAAAUAAAAUUUUAUCAUAUAAAAAUGUUUUUAUUAUUAAAAAUAAUAUUAUAUUUGAUGAAAACUUAUUUAAUUUUUGAAUAAAAGUAUAAGGGUUUAAUUGGUCUAAAAUUUUGAAUUUGACUAUUUGGCUCUUAAAUAAAAGUGUAGGAGUUUAAUUUGACUUAUAUCCAUUAUAGUACUUGAUGUGGCUAAAACGAAACUAUACUGCGAUUGAUAACUCAUAAAAAAGAGAAUAUGAGGUGGUUGGCGCAUACGGUAGUCACUCCGACGCUCAUAUCAGUAAACUGAAGAAAAAGGGCAAAUAUAAGAAUUGUUUAGAACUCAAUAGUAGUUGUGUAAGAAUAUAUACCUUGAUCUUUGCGAUUAUUAGCUUUUAUACGAUAAGAAGAUUAAAUUAAUUAUAGCAUCUCCUGAAAAUCAUAUUGGUAUGGGCUAAUUGAUAGGGGAUUAUGUGAUUAUAGGUAUAAUAAGGAUCUGCUGGAUUGCGAUCUCUAACAGUACCUUCCUAUGGAGUCUCACCCUAUAGGUUGAGAGGGUAAGCCUUGACGAAGAGUUGAGAUCUGAUGCGUCGGUCUUCUUUUCCUUUGAUGGGACCGGGUAUAAUCUGAUCAGACUCUUGACACGUGGUCUUGUCUUUGAAUGUCAACACAUGGCCUACCUUGGGCAAUUAUUGUGCUAUAUCAGAAAUCCUCCGUUACUUUUUGAUUAUUUAGAUUUAAAGGUGACAGUUGUCUUCAUAAUCUGGGGCACGUGACCUGUUUAGAUUGAGCUUCUAUGCUCGCGUCGCUUUGCUUAUUCUUGCCCAUAAUGAUAAUUGUCCUAUUUUAUAAUUUUCAGUUUUAAUGAGAAAACUUUCCUUCUAUAUUCUUUGUCAUUAUUUUCGGUAAGUGUUUAUAUACUUGAUACUCGACCAUAACUCUCGUCCACUUUCCUUCUAUAUUCUUUGUCAUUAUUUUCGGUAAGUGUUUAUAUACUUGAUACUCGACCAUAACUCUCGUCCGACCAUAACCAAAUAAAACUUUCAAUAAUCUCUUUAAAAAAUUAUUAAGGGAUUAAUACCUGAUCAAGCACCUGGCAACAUCUGCUUUUAGCCAUAAAAUAACUUUAAAAUUUUUUUAAUGGGACUUACUCCGUCUUGUGACUUACCUGACGAAUGCCUAUUUUGUAGCUAUAGAAAAAUAACUUAAAAAAUAAUAAAUCAGAUUUAACGCUUUCCAUGAUAAUAACUUAAAGGAUUUUGUUAAUCGAGACCGAUACUUGGUCGUUUAGCCUGGUGGAAAUCCACCUUAUAGAAUUUUUUGGCAGAAACUUAUCUUUAUCUUUUGGGACUGGCACUCAAAAACUCGCCUGGCGGUUACCUGCCUUGUGGCAUUUUUUGGUCAAAACUUGCCUUUGUCUUUUGGAACUAGCACCUAAAGACUCGACUGGUGGUUACCCGUCUUAUGACACUUUUUGGCCGAAACUUAUUUUUAUCUUUUGGGACUAGUAUCUCAAGACUCGCUUGGCGGAUACCCGCAUUGUAAUCUCGUAUAAAAUGCUUUAAAAACUUUUUAUAAAACAGGACUAACACCCGGUCUCUAGCCUAACGAAUACCUGCAUUGUGGCCUGAGCAUAAAAAUACUUUGAUUAGCAAGACUAACACCUGAAUUAUGUCAUGGUGGAUACUCGCUUUGUAGCAUGAUAUAAAAUGACUUAAAAACCUUUUGUGUUAGUUUAGUAUAAAAAUGACUUGGUUAGCGGAACUAACACCCAGAUUAUGGUCUGGCGGAUAUCCGUCUUGUAGCCUGACAUAAAAUGUCUUGUAUAGCAGGACUAACAUCCAGAUUAUGACUCAAAGGAUACUCAUCUUAUGACCUAAUAUAAAAUAUUUUGUUUAGCAAAAUUAAUACCCGAAUUAUGGCCUGCGGAUACUUUUCUUUUGGUUUUGACAUGAAAUGUCUUAUUUAGCGAGAUUAACAUUUGGAUUAUGAUCUGGCAGAUAUCCGCAUCGUAGCCUUAAUAUAGAAUACCUUAUUUAGCGAGAUUAAUAUCUAAAUUAUUGCAUGACGGAAUCCACCUUGUGGCUUUGACAUAAAAUAUUUUAUUUAGCGAUACUAACAUUCGGACUGUGGUUUGGUAGAAUCCGCACGUUGGCUUUAAUAAUAAAUGUUUUGUUUAGCAGAACACUCGAAUUGUGGCCUUCUUCUUAUUAUAUAAAAAAAAAAAAUUCAAAUGAUAAAUAUAGAAUGUACAAUACCGUUUAAAAUAUAAUUCAGAGAUCUCCAAAAAUUAUUACAACAUUGGCUGCUUCAAAGUUGACACUAAGCAAAAAUUUGGAAGAGCUAUUUUGGUGGUCUAGAUCUAAUAAUAAAUGGUUGAUAAGAAAUCACAUAUAUAAUCAAGAAAGCAACAUUUCAUAUACCGCACAGAACAAAGGGAUUUGUCGAGCUUGUCACUUUCUUAGGAAAAGUUUAAGAUUAAGGAUGUUGAUUAGUGGGAGAAAAAAAGAAAUAUUUAAAUGUGUUUUUUAAAACUUUAUAAAUUAAGAUUUUGUUUAAAAAUUCAACUUAAUUAGUUUUUAUAUUAAAAUUAAAAAAUUUAAUUAUUUUUAAUUUAAAAAAUUAAAAUCAUACCUAAUAUAAUAAGAAAUUAUUUAAUUAUUUUUUUAAAUAAACAUUUUGAAACAAGAUAUGGAGAGACAAAGGGCCUUUGUAUUGGAUCGUUGGCUGCAAUAAUGCGUGGGUUCAUGUCUAAUUAUAUUAUAAUUUUUUUUGUAUAAGCCCAAUUAAAAUUAUGUAUUUUUAGUCAAGAGCCAUUUAAUUUUUUUAUUAAAUAAACAUCUAAAAUUAAUUUGAUAUAAUAUUUUAUUUCCAUAAUUUUAAAAAUUAUUUAUUAUUUUUUGUGUUUUUAAAAUUUUAUAUUAUUGAAAUAAUAAAUUUUAAUAUUUUAAAUUAUAAAAAAAUAUUUUAUUAUUAAAAAAUUAUAUUAUAUUUGGUCAGCAUUUAUUUGGUCUUAAAAGUAUAAUUGAGGGAUUUAUUUGUAAAAAAAAUUAUAUUUGACGCUUAAUAAAAAAUAUAUAGACUUUUUUCCAUAAUUUUUUACUCACAAUGUUGAUAACCACCACACAGUAAAAUCAAUCCUUGUUCAACAUUCCAUAUUACAGAAAUCAAAUUAUACAGAAAAUAAAUAUUAAAAAGAUUAGAUGAAACCUUAUAAAAAUAUAAAGUUAAAAAUAAAAUAUAAAAUAUAAAGAGAAACAAAACAAAAUAAUAUAAAAAUAUGAAUAGGAUUUACAUAGAACUGUAGGAGUCAAAACAAAAAUUAAAAAUAUUAAAGAGACUUAACAAUAAUUUUAAAAAAAAUUAAAAUGAUUUUCAUGGGUAAAAUUUAAUUUGAAAAAAAUCGAGAAUAAACAGUAAAUUUGCAAUAUGUAUAUAUAUAAACUUUGUGGGUGAAAACUUUAAUUUUAAAAACUCCUGGAGACCAAGGCUCUCUAAGACACCACCUAAUUAUGCUUUCUUUCUACUAUUGAAUAAUAAUUCAUUAAAUCCCUAAACUAAAAUGAACUUUUAUUAAAUGGCUUCUAUAAAUUUAUAUAAUUAAACACAAUAUGAUGAUUAUUGAUAAUUUGUUAAAAAAAAAGUAAAAUUUUACACAUUUUUUAAUAACUAUGUUUAAAUUUUUUAAAAACAACAAAGCCCAUGCUCCAUUUUUUUUAAAACUAUCAUUCUCUAUUUUUUUUAGAGUAAAAUUGCCAUUUUUCCCCUUUUACAAUAAAUCAUUUGAAUGAUUCUGAUUUUUCUUAUAAAAUAAAAAUUAUUUUUUACAAAUUUAACACGACUAAUUUGCAUUUGAAUGGUGAACUUUUAUAAAUUUAGAUAUUUAAUAAAUUUAAAUUUUAGUUAGAUAUUCAGAAAAAAAUCGUAUAUAAAAGCAAGUACAUAUUUAGCGUAAAAAUAACCGAUUCACGUCUGCUUUCACAGGCGAGACAUAGAAGACCAUGUGCUGUGGCAAAGCAAGCCAAGCGAAACAAAACCAAAAAUUGAAAUACAAAAGCAAGCAUUUCAAAUAAGAAAUUUAUAAAGGUUCAAGAAAAUCAUAUCUAUCCUUUUCCUACCUCAGAUGAAGUUAGUCAUCCUCAAAAAGGCUCAACUUCCAAAAUUCACGUUUUUUUUUUUUUAAAAAAAUGUAAACAAAUUUCUUUCACAUGCUACAACAGAGAAACAUAUCUUUCUGGACUAAAUUUCGGUAACUACAUCAACUUAUGAGCUCUCAAAUACCCUAAGCGUGAGUUACAGGUUUGUGCAGUGCCUUGCCUUGUUCAGCUGACUCAGCUACUGACACAUCUACUUCUUCUUCUUAGAUUUGCUGGACAACGACUGAGUGUACGCAGUUCCCUGAACAUCCAGAAAAAAAUGUAGAAAUGCAUUUCAUUAGAAACAGUUUCUUGCACCCGAAAUGAUGUUCAAAAUGAAGAUAAUCAUGCCAUGUAUUUAAUGGAAACAACAAAUUUUUUAAGCGCUUAAAGUCCAAAUUUGCAUUAAAAAAUGCUAACUUUCAUGUUUCGGUCUAAAUUUGCUUAUGAACUAAAGUCCAAAUAAGCCCAAAUAGCCUACUAAGAUAAGCCUAUGCUAACUUUCAUGUCUCGGUCUAAAUUUGCUUCUGAACUAAAGUCCAAAUAAGCCCAAAUAGACUAAAGAUGAGCCUAUGCUGUCCUCGGUCUGUUUAGACUAAUUUGGACUUAUUUAGCCUUUUAAUAAUACUUUAGGACAAAUUUGAACCAAAACAUGAAAUUUAGCAUUUUUUACCCCGAUGUAUAGUUUAAGGGCAAAUUUGGCCUCUUUUGCUAUUUUUAAAGAGGGGCCACGUUUUCAAAUCCAUGUCUCGGUCAUGCAUGAUAAAAACAUGUAAACCCCACAAACCUGAAGCCAUUCAUCCAUUGAGACAUCCCUAGUCCCAGUUCCAGUUUCCACCUUAGGAGCCCUCUUAGUUUUCUGACCAAACAGAAGAAGCAAGUUUUAAAAUAUGUACGAAGCAAACAAAUUAAACAUCAAAAAAUUGCAGGUACAUAUGACUGAAGAUAUCAUAACAGAGCAUCUGGCAGAUAUAUGAAACAUCUAAAAUGGCAGGCAGGUAUAUAGGCCAGACAUCUACCAAGCUAUUUGCCUGACCUUUAUCAUCCACCAACUUAUCCCAUAAUUUCAUCUCUUGCAACUUGCAAGCGCACAGAACAACCAAAAGUCUCCUUUUAAAUGAAGUAAUUGAUAUCUUUUACAAUAUACUAAUUUAACCUUCCCAUGAUAGAAUCAUAUUCUCAUCAUAUACAAUCUAAAAGCAUAACUUAGAAUCUUAGAUGAUCACUACAGGAAUUAUUAAAGCAAUUAUGGCAUCCGGGCAAGCGAGUACCUUAGAAAGGUUCUGUAUUUGACCAUGAAUCCAUAGACCAAGAAGUACAAGAAGGGCAAAUCCAAGGGUAACCAGGAAAACUGACUCGACGCUGAGGAAGCCACCAGACUCGACAACUUCAAUGGUACCAUUGUAGAAGGUGCUCUGAUAUGGAUGCUGGUCUAUCUCAUAAAAAAUGGUGCCCACAAGAUCAAAGCUUCCAGGCUGCCCAAAAAUUUAAACAUACAUGUUGAAUCGCCAACUUCUCUAUAUUUCAGUUUUGAUGUAGAAAUAAGAUUGACAAGCAAUGCAAGUAUAUUGACAAUAAUGAAUCAUAAAACUCUGAGAGUAAUGCAUGUACCUGCAAGUACUUGCUGACUGCAAAAGUGUAUGGGAAUGUUGCCUGUGUUGAGGCAGGAACAGUUGCAUUGUUGAAGGCCUGCAGUUGAACAACAGUAAACAACAAAAUAAAAACAGGAAUCAACAGAAUCCUAGGAAAGCAAGAAAGCAGUGGUUAUACUAAAUUGCUAAUAAUUCUAGAAAAAAAUAUAAACUUUCAAUUAAGAGAAAGAUAAGAGAAAAAGAUAUGCAAUAGAAAAAAAUGUCAAAUUCCAAAAAUUACAAUUUAAGGCAAUGAUUAUAAAAUAUAGUACCUAGCCCAUAAAUCUGGUUUGCAAAACCUUGGUAACGGUGGCAGAUCCAAAAAUUUUGUUAGUGGGUCAAUGCACACAGCACAUGCACAAAUAUUUGUAUGUAUAAAAACAUUACAUGUGCAUGUAAAUAAAAUUUAUAAUAAAUCACUUACUAUACACAAUGGAGCAGAAAGAAGUAGAUUUAGAUAAAAAGGAAAUACAUAUGCAUAAUAGAGGAUGCUCAAGCUAUCAAGUGGUGGUGAAGAGAAGCAAUUGAUUUAUAUAAACUCAAAACUCUAGUGUAAGCAAUUUAAGCAACUGAAUGGCCCAAAGAAAAAUAAUUGACUGGGGAAAUUUUAAAAGAUCACAAUUCUACACAUAUUUAAAAGCAAUGAUAUGAGCAGACUUGUGCAACUAGACUCAAAAGUGACGGGCAAAUACUAACCCUUUCCUGAUUGUGAUACAAUGCACACAACAAACAAUACUAAAGCAACUAGCCCUAUUCUAUAAGUACCUUAAUUUAUGAAACUUUUGGAGAAUUCUUGGAAUUUCCACCACUACCUCUCUCUGGCUAACAAUUCUCAAAAAAUCCCCUUUAUCAUUCCCUAACUUGCUAUCAUUAACAAGUGGCUGUCAUGUGCACCAAGUAUACCUGGAAUGGGCGCCCAUCCUUUCUCCCACAACAAACUAAAGAAUAUUUACGAUCAGAAAGGACAGAGAAAGAGGGUAAAUGAUAAAAUUCACUCCUAAAAAUUCAUUAGCUACACUUCUCACUAAGGGAAGCAUGUUCUCUCUAUCCACCAACUACACCCUGCUCUUUCCACCCAUAAUUCAGCAAUGCGUUUUUUACUGGUUAAACUUGAUCUGAUCUUUGAUCUUGGCCCUGAGUUUGAAGCAGCUAUUUCUAUAAUCUAUUCUCGAGAAAUUAGAGCUUAAGUCAUUGUUUAUUCUAUGUAUAGAAACCACCUAAAAAAUGAUUCUGUGAUACAUUUCGUGCAUACGUACAUGUUAGUGUGUGUCAAUGAGUGUGAGACAGCAAGAACAAAGAGGAGGAGGAAGAGGAGAGAGGUUAGAUUCCUCUAUUUCCCCCAUUGGGAUGGGCACACCCAGAAAAGGGCAAACAACCAUAUCUACCCAUAUAACAAAUCAAACUAGAACCUGAUUUUGAGAUCAUCAUCACGUUAACUAUAACUGAAACAUCUAAAACUCCACACUUACCUGAGCAGUGAGAUUUUGAACAAGUAGAUGAUGAUCAAAUGGAAGAUGAACACUGCCUUUAAUUGCAAUGACAUUUAUGCUUGACUCCCCUGCACUCCAACCAAUGGAUCGCAUGAGCAUAUUUCUACAUUGAAUAAUAUAGCAAAAAAACAAAAGCAAAUUAUAGGGCUUAAGCCUGGAUAAGAACUAGAAUAAAAAUAAGGUAGACUGAGAAGUUAUAACCUAGAAUUGUACUUUCAUUGCACAAGUAAUUUGAUAACAAGUCCAACAUACCAUCAUUCUUGAGUCCGACAAGGAGUUCAGUAUCUUCACCAGUUAGCACCACUGCAGCCAAAAUAAAUAAAUAAAUAAACACAAACACAUCCAUCAUACAGAUUAUUCAUUCUUAAAAUUAUAGUGAAAACAGAAAUAUCAAUGAGCAAAUAGAUGAAAUUCCUACAACGUGCACUGUUUUUGGGGAAAACACAGACGGAAUCAACUCCUGGAGCAGGGCUAAAAUUUCCAUCGCCAAAAUACUGGGCAUCCUCACCAACAAUACCAAGAUCACUUACUUCUUCGGCAGACUCUGUGACGUCUGCUUCAGAAUCUGAUUGACACCUAGUCACUGUAACAGGAAAGAAUUAUCAAGUUUUAGAUGAAUUUUCUCAGAUACUCAAAACCCGGAGAAAUCAUUUCUAGUGGCAGUUUCCAUUAGAAAAUGACAGAUUAAACUGACAAACAGGCAUGGAGUUAAAAAAAAAAAUCAAAGCAACACAACUCCAGUCCUAUCUAAUGUAAAUUGGCAAUCAAAAGCAUAUAAUUCAGAACCCAGAAAGUACACAUUACUUAAAUGGUAUUUAAUCUGUUUAUAGUAAUUCUUUUAAUUAGAAAAAUACUUUUACUUCACAUAGCAAAAAUCGUGAUUAAUCACCCUUUCGAAAAGGGAAACAAAAUAACAAAUACAACCACAUAUAUUAAAUCACUUUUCUUGCCCCCUUCCCACAGACGUAGAGAAUAUCAAGUUAAAUUUAGCCUUCAAAAACCAACCAAAAGCAUCAGCUAAAUCCCGACAACCCAAAACCCAGAGAAACGACACCGCGUCACCUUGUUCUAAUACUUGUGAAAGAAAAAUUCAAAGCCGAAACCUCACAAGAAACAUAAUUAUAUAUCGAUUUAGAUCUCAUGUCUAUAGAUCAAAGACCAUAAACACAACCACAUAAAACAUAUAUAAAUAUUUAAAGUUGAGCAUAAGUACAGAUCUAGAUCUAAAAUUGGGAAUGAAGAACCUUGAAGGAGGGGAGAAGCGAUAAGGAGGAGAGCGAAGAAGAAAACCCUAAGAUUGUUCAUUGUCGCCGUGUUUAAGGCAGCUUCGUCGACGGUCGUGGAGAUCAAUACGACGCCAGAGACCAAAAUUUGUCUCUCCAGUCAAAUACGAGGAAAUAGUAGAUGGUAUUUAUUUUGUGUGCUUGGAAAUGGUAGAUUGCAAGUUUGCCAUUACAGUUUGUUAAACAACGUGGGAAUGAAGUCAAACGAUGUCGUUCAAUUAUGCCUUUUUUGCAUUUCCAUUUCUUUAUUUUUUUUUAUAUUUGGUAAUUAUUAGAAAUAUAAUAUCAUUGAAAUUUACCUUCAUAUUAAAUUAUGAUUAAUUGUUUAUUAUGGAUAAUAUUAUAGACAAAAUUAAUAAAAGAAAAAAAUAAAUAAUAUGAUUAUCUAAAAAGCUAAUUUAUUAUUCGUAUUCUUUACAAUUAUAUUAUUCUUUUAUUAUUUAAGAUGUUUUUAAAGUUUAAAUAAAUUUACAACUUUUAAUUAUUUUGUAUUUUUUUAAUUAUUCUCUAUGUUUUAUAAUUUUUUUUUCCAUUUUUUCUUUUAUAAUUGUCCUAACAUUAUUGUGUACACUAUAAUAAAUUGAAUAUUGUAAUCUAUUUAAUUUUAUCUUGUAAAAAAUCUAAUAUUUACAUGUAUUUAUAUUUUAAUAUAAAUUUUUAAAUUUUAAUUUAAUUGAUUCGAUCUUUAUAUUUUGGUAUAAUUUUAUUUAAUCUAUAAAUUUCUAAAUUUUAUAGUUUAAUUAGCAUAUUACGUAUAUUAUUUUUUUUAUAUAAAUUAAUAAUUAAAUGACUGAAAAAAAUUUAAUGUUUGUAUUUUUAUAUUUUAAUCUAAAUAUUUAAAUUUUAGUUUAAUUGGCUUAUUUGGAACUAAUUUUAGUCUAUUUUUAAAAUUUAAUAUAUAAAAAUUUAAAUAAAAUAUCAAAUAUAAUAUUUUAUUAUUUUCUAAAUAUAAAUUAAUUCUAUGAAAAUAAUAUUAACUUAAAUUUAAUUAUAGUUAAAUAAUAUAUAUAAUUUUAAAAAAUAUUAAUUUAUAUAUCGUGGACAGUUAUAUCAGUAGACAGAUUUUGUAAUUUUAUUUUAUAUUAAUAAUUGUGGAGAUUUUAUAAUAGAUAUAUUAUUUUUAAUUAUUUUAUAUACACUAUUAUUUUGAAUUAAAUAAUAUAUUUAUUAUAAAAUGUCUAUAAUUAUUAUUAUAAAAUAAAAUUUAUUACUAAUUAUAUCUUUAACAAUUAAAUUAUUUAUCUUUAAUUUUAAUUUUAAAAAUUAAUCAAAAUUAUAGUUAUAUUUAAAUAUAAAUAUUUGACCAAUUUAUUUAAAAUUUAAAUAUUUAAAUUAAAAUAUAAAAUAAUAUAAACGGUAGACUUUUUUGAUUCAUUGAUCAAUUAAAAAAAUAAUUAUGAUAAUACACUUAUUAACUAGACAAUCAAAUUGCACAUAAACUAUUAAAUUUAGAAAUUUAUAUAUCGACUAAAAUUAUACCAAACUAUUAAAUUUAGCAAUUAAAUCAAAAUUAAAAAAUUAAAAUCAAAAUAUAAAUAUAUACAACAAUUAGGUUUUUUUUUUUAUAAUUCGCCUUUUAGAAAACAUCUCAAAAUAAUUUAAUUGAAUUUAAUAUUAAUAUGGACAUAAUCCGAAAGUUAAUAAUUUUUUUUAAUAUAUAUAAAAAAAUAAAAUGUAUAAAAAUUAUGGAAAGAAAGGAGUAAUUGUUUUAUUUUAAUUUGAAUAUAAAAUUUUAUAAAAUAAUAACUAAAAUAAAAUAUAUCUUCAAAGAAAAUUUUGUAAUUUUUUAUCAAUCAUAACAAAAGAAUUAACAAAAAAAAUAAAAAAAUUAUUUUUUUAAAAAAAAGUUCAUACUAUGCAUUAAAAAAAUUAUUACUAUUUAAUUUACAUUGAAACUUGCUUUACUUUGUACACGACAAUAAAAUAUUAAAUAUAGUUAAUUAUUAUACUUUGAAGAAAAAUACAAAUUUAUUAAUUUUAAAAUUAAAAAGAUAUAUAUGUGUAACAAAUAAUAUCAACUUGUUAAAAAGUACUAUAAUAUAUAAAGGUUAAAAUAUGAUUGAAGCUAAUUCCAUAAAAAAAUAGUUUCAGGAUUGGUUAAGAAUCUAACAUUAUCCAGAAUUUGAAAUAUUUUCUUUAUUUUAUUUUAAAUUUAAUUAAAUAAAUCUUUUUAGCUUUAGAUUUAGUUAUAGAUUGUAAUACUAUUUUGAUUUUUGGUUAAUUGUUUGCGCCUGUAAAAAUUUUAUAUGAUUUUAUAAAACAAUUAAUUUAUAUUUCUAAUUCUCGUAGAUUAAUUUUAUUUUUUCAUAAUCAAUAGAGUUAAUUAUUUAUAAUUUAUAUAUUUACUAUACAUAAAAGUGGCAAAGGGAGAUAACAAAAUUUCACGUAUUACCUUUUUAAUUGGAUAAAAAAUAUUAUAUUUUUAUUUAUUUAAUAAAUAAGACAUUUGUAUAUUAAAAAACUGAUAAAAAUUUAUUUAUAUGUAUAUAUAUUAUUAUUAAUGAAAUACAAUGUACAACGGUUGCUAUCAUUUCAUUUUAAAAUACUAUUUACCUCUAUAACUAUUAGAUGUGUUAUUGUUACUUUGGUACUUUUAUAAUUAAAUUAUAUAGAAAUAAUUUUAAAUAUUUUCUAAUUAACAUAUUUAAAAAUUAAUUUCAGUUUUAAAUUAAUUUUAAUUUAAAUACUAUUUGUAUUUAUAGUAAAUAUUUAGUUUUAGUCAAGAGAAACUUCUUUGUAUUUAUAGUCAAGCGUCAUAAAUGAACUUAAAUAAUACGUAAACUUUUAGUACAUAAUAUUAUUAGUACAAAUCUAAAUACUAGUAAUAGCAAUAGUAAAAGCAAAGAAACAGAGGGCAGGUAACACAUUUCGGGCAUGUAAAGUUUACAAAACAUGCUCCCUGGGGGUUCUUUGUUAAUAAGAGAAGGCAGUUAUCUAAAGAUGACACCAUCCUAUUUCACUUUUUCUAUUAACAAAAAUCGACAAGUUGGAGUUCAAGCAGGAGACAUCACCCAACUUCAUCUUCAAACCAUGAGAUCUAGUCAAGUAGAAGAUCUAUAAUAUGUCUCCUUUUCCUCAAAUAUGUAUUUCAUGCUCAUGCACAAAACCCGUAAUCAUCAAUUGUGAGCUCUAGUCAUGAUAAGCAAGGUUAUUGAUUAUAGAAUGCUCAUGAAUUAUGCUGAAUUCUUGCAGCAGUAAAAGAUGUAUAUAUACUUUCUGAAAAAAAAUGCCAAGUAGAAGAUUUAUAACUCCAGCCACUAUCAACUACAUAUAAGUACUUGAUGAUACUGAAAUGAAACCGCACAAUUAAUUUAUUUUUUUUGUUAAAAAGAAAAAGAAACAAAAAAAACUAGUGCCCCUAUAAGUUGACACAAAACCUUGCCAUGGCUGUAAAACAAAUCCAGCUACUAGAUCAAUCUCCAUGGAUGGUGUAACGCUCCCACUUCUUUGAUGGGUCAUAUAUCUAUCACAAUGAAAAGGAAAAGAAUUAAUAUGACUUAUCCUUGUUUAUUUAAAUUAACUCCCCCUGCUGCAUUCACAACACAUAUGCCAGCACAGCAGACUGGCCAAGUUAACAGCCCAGAUUGGAUUGUCCAGUUUGUCAGAGUUAAUGCCAGAUUUCUGUUUUUGAGAAGUAUUAAGCAUUAUUUUCCAACAAUAAUGCAAUCUGCAAUAUUCAUCAACAAACCACAUUCACUCACACACACACAGAGAGAGAGAGAGAGAGAGAGAGAGAGCACCUCCCAUCUUGAAGCAGGGAAAAUGUGUUUGUUCUUCUCAUACCAAUGCCUCUCAACAACUUUACCAGCAUGAGACUGUUGAAAAAAUAUAUAUAUAUAUUUUUCUUGAGCUCGUGUCGAAGAACAUGAUUGGGCAUGACAUAUGGGAAAACCCCCUUAAUGACAACUACUUAAAAUUGAAUACUGUAAACAUAAUACCUCAUCCUUCUCAAUUGUCGCAUCAGCUAUGGUCCGCACAUCCUCAUGCACAUCAAAGUGAAACAGCUGCAAAAAAAGGGGGGAAAAAAGCUUCAUAUUCCAAAAAACAAUGUGGGUUGGGGGGGUUAGGAGGAAUACAAAUGUUACUCAUCCAGAAAUACCAUUGGAUUUUAGGAUUUAAUAUCUUUUUUGUUCCCCAUUCAUCAUUACGAGUAUGGUCAAUAAAACAAUUGAUUAUCUAUAUAAUCAAUGUUGCUACAGUUAUCACAUCAUAAUAAAAUGCAAUAGGAGAGAGUUUAAAGGAAUUGAGGGUUACUGGUCCACUUUUGCCUCUAGCCUUGUUAACAAUAAGCUCAUAGAAGCUGUGUUGCUGAAAUUCCAAAAUCACAGAGAAAAAAAAUCAUAAAGUGAAAAUAAGUUAGAAUGUGAUCACAAAUCACAAUAUACAGUCAAACACAAACAGUAAUUGAAAAGCUUAAUUUGAAAAUCAUCUCACAUGGGGAAUGAUGAGAUCUUCCUUCACAUAAAGUAAAUUCUCCACAGAUGUUGUCCUGAUUUCUCUAAACUCAGGUGCAAGUUGUUGCUGAACUGCCCUAAGGAACUCUCCUAUGGUAUCACCUUUACGUGCCUAAAAACCAGGUCCCAAAAAAAGAGGAUACAAAAGUCAACAGUAUGGACAAAGAGAAAAAAGUAGAGGAACAAAAGUAUAGACAGGUUAAUGUAACUAGCCUGGAUCACCCUCCUAUGGCCUGUUCCAUCCCAGUAGCUGUAAGUAAUUUCAAGGGGCUCAUCUGAAAUAUCGAGAGUUUGAUUCAGGAUAAAUAUUUUUCCAGAUAUUAGUAAUACAUUAGGAAGAGCCAAAACACAAAAUUACUUCGAAUCUGUUCCUGUUCACGAAGCCAUUGUUUCCGCAACCUUUCACGCUCAGCUUGCUCCUCUGCCUCCCGCUCACUGAAACAGCAUCCUCAUCACCCCUAAGCUCAUAUGUUAGUUCGAAGCUCAUGCACAUCUACAUGCAACAAGACUGUGUGGCGAGGAGAAGUAAGAUGUCAAACCUAUCAGGCAAGAAGCUCGUUUCCACUGUGGGAUCUUUGCCAACUUUCCCAGGCACUAAUUUUUUUGACUCACCUUCUGGAGCAAGGAGAAAAAGUGAAUACUCAAUUCAGAUUCUCAUGCUACCAUGGAACAGGAUAUAAAUAAUAAAUGAACAAGGUUUACUUAUGACAGCUAUGCAAAUUUUUAAUCAGCAAAAAUUUAGCAAAAAGCAAAAGAUAGGGGCAGAGACAGGUGGAAGGUAGGGGGACCCUGCACCCCAUAUAUAUGGGGGCAAGCCAUUUUAUUUUAUUUUAAAAAUAGUAAGUGUAUUGUAAUCUUACUUUUAAAAUGGCAUAUAAAUGUAGUCUUGGCCUUUAAAAAAAGAUAUAAAAUUGAAAUAUUAUAUGCUUUAAAAAUUAUUAUAUUUUUUAAAUUACUAAAAAUUUCAGUUUCACCUAACUUUUUUUAACCUAUCUCUAAAAACUUCCAUCCAGAUUUAGGAAUAGUAAUUUUAUCAAGUUUAACAUUCAAAAUCUGUUUUACCGCCACUAGUAAAGUAGAUUAAAUAUUAGAGGAAAAAAAUCUAACUCUUGUGGUGUAAAAAUUUGUUUUCAUUCAUUUUAUCCCAUAUAGAGUCAAAAUUUUGAAAUCCAAUGUAUUUGUCAACAUCUAUGGCAUAGGUUGGAGGUGUAAGAUGUCUACGAACAUGGGUGUAUUAUGGACCUCUUUUGCUAAGUUUUUUCCUAAUUACUUUAAUACAUAAAUCAUAUGUUUAAUAAGAGAAGUUGAUUAUCAUUUGAUAAAAAUGCACCUACCUUCUAAUUAAUUAUAAACUAACAUUUAUAUGAUUAUUUAAUCAACUGGUAUGAACUAUCUCCAGAGUUGCAUUCUUCCCGCAGGAUAUCAAGCCAUAAAACAAACUGAAGUUCAAAGGCAAAUACUCCAAAACAUCUAUAAACACCAGCAAGUAUCAAAGCCUUUGAAAAGUAUUAUUAUAGCAUAUGAGAAUAUUGGGCUAGCAUCAGGAAUAUUCCAUCAAAAGUAUCAAAGCCUUUGAAAAAUAUCUUACUGUCUUCAGCAUCCUCUUCUUCACUUCCAUUCUCAAUAUCAUCAGCGAAUGAUAACCGAGGAUUCCCCUUAAUCUUUCUCUUUUUCCGCUUUUCUAACUGGAGUUCCUCCUCCCUACAACACAAUGCACAAUCCCAACACAUAACCAGAGAGGAUAUAAAAAAAAAUAAAAAAUGGAAGGCAAAUGCAGGGAAGUAAAACUCACUCUUGCCGCAACUUUUGUAGCUUCUCCUUUUCUUCCUCUUCAAUUUUAUUCUGAAUAUUGACCCUCUUAACAUAUGCAGCACAUAUACAACAACACAGAAUAAGCACCUCACGCUUCCAUUAUUGCCAAAGAGAUGGGGGGAAAAACUCUAUUACCUUCUCAACAUAUUGCUCUCUUGUAACCAAACCCACAGUCUCCUUCUUAAAUGCAGUCUCGAGAAUCUGUUAACCACAAACUAUAAGAACAUGUGUAAAAACAGGGUUGGGGGGGCGGGAGCAGCAAUUGAAGGAGGAAAAGAAAACUUUUCGUUUGCCGAGAAACUAAAACCCUAAAUGAUUGUAAAACGCAAACCCUAGGUAGCAGAGAAGUGAUAGUUGAUAAAACCGAGUAACUGACUGAAGGUGGUUUCGCAAACGUACCUCCGAGGUGCUUGACCCGAAUUGGAGGAGGCCAGGCUGGCCCUUGGCGGAGGCGGACUUGGUCUUAAGCUCUUGGAUUUUGCGACGCUCGGCUUCUCGUUGCUUCUCUAACCGCCGGAUCCUGACGGCGUCUUGGGCCGUGCCCACAUAGCCAUCUCCCAUGCCCGACAUCUUUUGUUUUCUUUUACUUUCCCUGGUUAUGCCUCCCUGUAGAACGAAAAUUAUCCCGGAAAAUUGGAUUAAGGUUCUUGUUUGUCGCUCGACGAAGGAACAGUAAAGGCUCAAGUGCUAUUAGCUGAAAAAGUGAUCGACAGCCGUUCAAUCUGGUUACUAUGACCAACGGCUCCGAUUAUAGUUUAUUUAAAAAUAAGAAAAUUUUGGAAAAAAAAAAAACUAAAUUAUUUCACAUUUAUAUUCAAAACAUUUAAUUUUAUUAAUAAAAUAAUGGUUAUUUUUUAUUAAUAAAUAUACAUUUAUUUAAUUUAAAUUUCAUACUAAAAAUAAAUAUAUAUUUUAUAUUUAUUGUAUAUAAUAAUAAAUACUUAUUAAAAAUAAAAUAAAAUUAACAUAAUAUAUCAUAUGUAAUUUUUAUAUGUUAAAAUAUUUCAUUAAACAUUUAUAUUCAACAACGUUACAGACUAUAUGCUAAUUACUCAUAUACAAAAUUUUUUAUUUUAUAUCAAUAAUACUAAUAAAAUAAAAUUUUAUUUUUUUCAUAUUCUAAAUUUUUUAUUAAUUUAUGAUAUGUACAUAAAGUGUGAAUGAAAUGUAAAUAAUAAUAUUGACAAAAAACAACAUUGUUUAAAUAAAAUAUUCAUUUUAUAUUCUAUUUUAUUAAUCACAUAAAAUUUCAUGUAUUAUAAUUUUAAUCCUUUAGCUACAAUGACAAUAAAUUUUAACACUAUUUAAUUUUAGUUUUCAAAAUUUAAAAUUUUAUAUAUAAAUAUAAAUUAACGCUGCUAUUUCAUGCUUUUUUUUCGGUUAUUAUCUUAGGGUAAUUUAUUUUUCUUUGUUAGCAAUGUAAGGCUCUUGUAAAACUUAAUGAAAAUGUAUUAAAUAUUUAAUUUAAAAUUUUAUCAAUCAUGAAUAUGAGUGCUUUAUAUCAUGUUAAUUAAAAAGUUUUAUAAUUGCGGUUCUUAUAAUCGUUUACUUAAUUAUAUAUAUAUAUAUAUAUAUAUAUAUAUAUAUAUAUAUAAAUAUAUAUAUAUAUAUAUAUGAAUAUAUUUAUUUUAUUUUAUUAUUUAUUUAAAGCACUCCUGAGUAUUAAUUCGGCAUACUGAUUUUUUUAUUUUAUAUAGAUUAUAAAUAAAAUAAUCACUUCAGGAGUGGUCAGAGAUCAACAUGAACUAUUAUAAUUCAUUAUUUUGAGUUUUCGAGUCACUAUAUAGUUAUAUUUUAACAUAUAUAUAUAUAUUAAAUAAAAUGGGUUAUAAAAAUUAUAUAAAUUAAGAUAAUAAUUAUGCAUUAAUAAAGAAAAAGAGUUAAACUUUUUAAAUGUAACGAUAAUUAUAAAAAAAUAAGGAACGGUAUUGUUAUAAAAUAUAUAUUAAAUUAAAAAAUAGUAAGAUAUCAAAUUACAGUAUAAUUAUAAAUAUAUUUUUUAUAUAUACUACAGAUUGAAAUGUUUAUAAAAUAGAGAAAAUUCUGUGAAAAUUUUAAUUUAAAAUAUUAUAUUUACUUUACUUUUUUAUAGAAUUAUAUAUAAAAAAAAGAUUUAAUUUUAAAAUAUUUAAAAAAAUAUAAUUUACAGUAAUUUUUAUUCUGUCUACAUUAUGUCUACAUUUUAACAAGAUAGGAGAUGUUACAUAAAUAAAUAUAUGUUACUUCGUAUAAAAUAUUUUUCAUAAAUUGAUUCAUAAAAAAAUAAUAGAGUAAUUAGGGAUGAGAUGUUAAUAGAGUGGUGAGAUAAUUUAUAUAAAUUAAUUUUUUUAAUGUGAGUAAAUGUAUUUUUUAAUGUAACAUUUACUAUUUAAUUUUUAUAUUAUAGAAAAAUUUAUUAAUUAAAUUUUUAAUUUUAAAAAACAUAUUACAAUGUUUAUAAAAUUUUUAAAAAAUUAUUAAUUAGACAUUAUUUUUAAUUAAUAAAUAUUUUAUUAUUUAAUUUAUAUAAUUUAAAAAAAUUAUUAGUUAUUCGCUUAAUUUUAUAAAAAGUUUAUUAAUUUUUUUUAUUUGAAAAUAUUUUAAUUUUUUAUAAUAUUUAAUAGUUAAAAUUAAUAAAAAGUUAAUUUUUAGACUUUUAAAAUUUUAGAAAUAUUUUAAUAUAGUUUUUAAAAUUGAUAAAUUAAUUAAUAGAUUUUUUAAUAAAAUAAAAAGUAAAUAAUAAUUUUAAAAUUAAAAUUUAUAGACAUUUUAAAUUAAAUUAAUAUAAAUAAAUAGAUAAAUAACGAUAGAAGUAAAUUCAGAAUCAAUUCGGUAUUUUUUCAAGUGAAAGUAUAUUGUUUGUGGCUAAGCUAAAACAGUUAGUUAAUUAGUUUGUCAGUUUGUUUGUUUUUUUUUUUCAAAAAAACAAAGGAGAGGAAACCAGUAAAAUUUUAGGACACGAAACGGAAGGACCAAGAGACCCAGUGGUCUGGAUAUCAGGAAAUCAUCGUUUUUGACCGUGCGUGUGACGCGAAGGAGACUCGCGUGAACCUGAUCCAGCCGCCCAGUCCCUUUCGAUUAACCUAACACACACAUACGAACGCAACAACACCCACAGCUUCUUCUCCCAUUUCCAUUCUCCCACACAGACCACAGUAGAGAAAGUGAAUAAGUCACAGCCAAUUCAACCAUGGCGAUGCUCUCUACAUCUCUCUCCGGCCCCAAAUCAACUAUCUCAUGUCCCGCUCCUCAGUUCUCUGGUCUCCGCCGUUUAUGCACUAAGCUCGACGCCACGAAAUCUAACUCUUCCUUUCUCCAUCAUUUCAAUUCUCAACUCCGCUUUUCUUCUCCUCGUAAAACUUCCAGACAAAUCGUCGCCAUGGCCGGCACAGGAACGGUGCGUUCUUUCUUUUGUAAUGUAUCUCUCCUGGAUCUUGUUUCAAUGCUUUCAAAUACUGUUUAGUCUUAUUUUGGUUAUUGCUUUCUGUGUAGUUAAUCUUUGUUCUUUUGCUUGUUUACUGUGGACAUUGUGAAGAAACCGGUAAUGAAUAUAGUAGAUCUAAUAUAAUUGGAACUUUACCGUUAUUUAGUUAUUUUGUGUUUGCUUGGAAAGUGAAAGUAAUUUGCUUAAAACUGUGGUUUACAAGCAGCCAGAUCUUUCAAGAUUGGUUGCUUUGUUUCUUUAGUUGUGUUUUUUUUUUUUUUNNNNNNNNNNNNNNNNNGACAUGCCAUUUAUUAAUUGGUAUUUCUCUUUGCUCUGCUUGCAGUUCUUUGUUGGGGGGAAUUGGAAGUGUGUAAGUAUCUUUGUUCCUCACUGAUUCAAUCAUUUCAACUUGUUUCAUUUGGUUUAUAUAUAUAUAUAUAUAUAUAUAUAUUUACUUUAUCACUAUCAUUGUUACUUCUAGCGUAUUGUUUCCUCAUUAACUUGUGUAAUUCUUGACUGAACUUGACCUUGAACAAAAGUGUUGCUAGACCAUUAUAACAUGCCUUUGAACAAAAGUAUUGUCGGACCCAUCUAAGUUGACACAAUGAAAGAUGAUAAUCUUGUGUUAGAUCUAGUAAAAUAAGAAGAAGAUGCAGUUAUUUAUUUAGAACACAUUUUAAAUCUGCAAGUGUAUGUUUUUGACCUUUAUUGGGAAUAUUUCUUUACACUUUGAAAAUUACGCUCUUUGCAUUCACUGUUAAUGACCUCGUAACCUUUCUCACUGAUGUAUUCAUAAAUUUGCGAGAUUUGGUGAAGUGUUUUUUGAUUGAAUUGAUAAUAUCUCCAUUGCCACAUAAGUUAUGAAAAAUUUGAAGUUUAUGCUGGUUAUUCAGAUGCGUUCCUGUUCUUUAUAUUGUUAUUGCUGUCAGUGUGGGUUUCUUCUGUUUAAACGUUUAACUAUACACUUUUCAUCUGUGUUAUUGCAACGAUUGGCAUUAUUUCCUUUUUGUAAGCUUUAUUAUUAUGAACUAUUUAUUCUCUGGACACUGCCUCAACCUUUUAACAAGUUCUGAUGAUUCUUUUUUUUUUUUGGUCAUGCCAUUUAAAUUAUAGUGCGGUUACUUUUAUGUACAUUUCUCAACUUUAGUUUUUCCUGGGUUCUGAGAAGGUCUUUAGCUUUCUGUCUUUUCUUUUUGUUAGCAUCUUGGUGUGGGUAGUGGAUAGUGCGGCUGGAUAGCUAUUGUAUCCUUUCAUUUCUUCUCUUUGGUUUCUCUAAUUACUUUAUUUUUACGGUUUCCAGAAUGGGACGAAAGAAUCUAUCACUAAGCUUGUUUCUGACCUGAAUGAUGCAAAAUUGGAGACCGAUGUAGGUGAGAUAAUAUUUUUCUCUAGUUCUGGUGUCUCAUUUUCUGAUUUCCAUUAAGUUUUCUAUUUUUGUGAAUAAUCUCGUGCUAUACAAGAUAUGCUUGUCAUGCAGCGUAUUCUAGUUUGACAUGGUUGAUUGUGUAAUGUCCAAACUUCACAAUGCUCUAUAUCCUUAUAGAAAAGGGAACUCUACACUUGGAGCUUUAUUCCUAUUUUAUCUCGUUUUUAGGAAAAAAAAAUCCAAAUACUGUAUUGUUCUUACCUUUUCCUUUUUACCUGUGAAUGGGCAGAUGUUGUUGUAGCGCCUCCCUUUCUUUACAUAGAUCAGUUGAAGGCUUCAUUAACAGAUAGAAUUGAGAUUUCUGCUCAAAACUCAUGGGUUGGAAAAGGUGGGGCAUUCACAGGAGAAAUUAGGUUGGUUUCAUUUCCCUUUUUAGUUCCUCUUUGGCAUAGCUAUGACAAUUGGUAUUAAUUUUCAAACCCUUCACAUGAUUUUCAUUUAGAUAUGAGUCAUAGCAAUAGAUUUUGGUAUUGAUUUAAUAAUCCUUAAAUUAUUUUAUUCCUUUCCUUGUUUUCUCUCUGCUGUAUCUUAAGGUGACAAAACUAUGUAGCUUGAAGCAUGAAAACUUCAGCUUACCUAAAAGUUAAUAUUUGUUGCUGUAUUGAAUAGUUUACUAGAUGGUAGAAGAAAAUGUGAGUGAUAUAUUGCAGCCUGAUCCUUUUUUAAUUUUUAAUUUUCUUUUUCCCCCUCUAUGUUUGUGUUUAUCUUUAAAGGGUCAAACUAUAUUUGUAUUGAGUUUAGACUUAUUUAUUGAAGGAAAUAAGAUCACCCUGCUUGGCUUUUCAAAACUGUUCUUUGGUUCCGUUCUAAUUUGUGUGUGCCUUUGAAAUGAUAUCUCAUUCUAGUUUUUCCUUUUGUAAUGUCUGAUCUAAGAAACUCAAAUACCAUUAUAUCUGUAGCUUAUGUGAACCAGAUAGUAGUUAAUUGCAUGUUCUGUUUCCCACUUAUUCUCUUGUAACUUUGACUAAUACACAAGCACUUUCUAUUGUUUAUGGUUGGAGGAUAUAUGCUAUUGCUUAGGUGCAAAAUGCCAUUAGUUUACUGUUGAUGCCAGAGUUUUCACCAUAUGCAGCCAAACACAAGUCUAAUUUUAUUGUUCUUAGACGAUAAGCAGUGGGUUGUAGUUAGUUUCAAAUGCAACGACUCCAAUACUCCACCCUUGCUUUGCUUUAGUGCUUUACAUGUGUGGAUUAGGAUAUCCAGGUUAAGAAACUAUGGUGUGUCUUACUCUCGUAAAUUAACUCAUGCAUGAGGCUUAUCCGUUGUUUCUCUUCUCCUGAAUUUUUUUUCAUAUAAUUGUUAUACUCUAUUUUCAGCGCGGAACAACUGAAAGAUAUUGGCUGCAAGUGGGUCAUUCUUGGGCAUUCUGAACGCAGACAUAUAAUUGGUGAAGACAAUGAGGUGAAAAUAUUAGAAGCUAAAAGUAUUAUGUUUUUGAGAGGUUUGAAUGAGUAGAUUGUUGUCUUGUGGCUUAUUGUCAUUUUGUUCAGUUAAGUUAUCACUGAAUAUCAAUAUAGUCACUAAAUUCAAUUUGCUGCAGCAAAAUCAUUCACCUUUGACUUAGUUUCAAUGCUAUCACUGUUACUGGAUUUUGGUAGAAUUUCCACCAAAAUUUUGACUUGACAUCCUAGUAAAAUUUGCUAAUUUAGUUGUAUAAUUGAAACUAGGAUAUUAAAUUUUAUUAGUCAACACAAAAAAAGUUGUCUAAAUGUUUGCAAGAAUUUGGAAAUGAUAACAUCGUUAACACAAAUUCAAAGACACAAUUUUUGUAUUACAAAUUGGAGUUUUAUCUGUUGUGCUUAUUAGUGAUGCAUCAAAACCAUGUGUUUGAUUGAUGUAAGUAGAUAGAGAAGAGGACAAAUUCAAUGGCAGAAAUUCUAUUUGUACCAGGGAAUAUGGAAGUUCAAUGAACAGGAACUGGAACUAGAUACAGAAGAGAAGAGAAGAGAAGAGAAGAGAGAAUCCUGUAGAGAGAGAAAAAUGUAAUUGAUCUUCCCUACCAGAAUGAUACAAUCUGCUAGCUUAAGUAGGUCACCUUGUAUGUUAUGGAUUAUAUUAUCACUUUUCCUUAACUAUUACAACUUUCUACAGCUGGCUUAAGCUAGUUAGCAUAAUUAUAAAAUUUAACUACCCUUCCCCAAUUAUUUGAAUUUGUUGUUUUUUUUUUUUCAUGAUCAGCUAGUCUGAUAUUAAUUACAUUAUCAUUACAUUUGUUUAACAGUUACAACCAUCUACAGCUGGCAACAACUAACUAAACUUCUCCUAUUGUUUAAGUUUCUGUUAGAUCUUCCACACAUAAGAGAUUAUGCAUUGUUUUUUGUUUAAUUAUUUGGAUUUAUUUUGACUGAAGUUGUUUUCUUGUUUCAGUUUAUAGGAAAGAAGGCUGCUUAUGCCUUGAGCCAGGGUCUGGGUGUGAUGGCUUGUAUUGGUGAACUUUUAGAAGAAAGAGAGGCAGGGAAAACCUUUGAUGUUUGUUUUGAACAGUUGAAGGCAUUUGCAGGUAAUUGCUGAUUUUUGUUUCUUUCGACAUACAAAGUGAAUCGUACAUGCAUUGUGAAAGAGAAGAGACAUGUCCUUAAAUCACUAAUAUCAUUAUUUGUAGAUGCUGUGCCCAGUUGGGAUAAUAUAGUUAUUGCAUAUGAGCCUGUAUGGGCUAUUGGGACGGGAAAAGUGGCCACACCUGUGCAAGCUCAGGAAGUGCAUGCAGCUGUCCGUGACUGGCUUAAAAAGAGUGUCUCAGAAGAAGUUGCAUCCAAAACACGUAUCAUCUACGGAGGUACUUUACGUGUCUACAAUGUGAAGUGCUUUUUUCUUUCUUCCUCUGCAAUGUUUACUAGACAAAAGGAAAAUACUCAGUUCACUUUUUCUUUCUACAAAUAGACAGAAUAAUCUAUGAACCCUGCAUCUAGGAAGGAUUUUGGAAUAUUAUGGUUCUCUAUGUCUUGUUAGCUUCCACUUAUAAUCUCAUACAUCUGAGUUGCCUUAUUAGGAUCUGUAAAUGGAGGCAAUUGUGCUGAACUUGCAAAGCAAGAGGAUAUUGAUGGUUUUCUUGUUGGCGGUGCAUCCUUAAAGGUAUACUAUCCUGCUAUUAUUGUUUGCUUCAAGAUUUCAGGACUGUUGAAAUAUUUAGGGUAAUUUAUAAUAUAGUCCUUGAAGUUUAAUAAAACCCAACUUAGUCCAUGCCAUUUUAAUGAAAAACAAUUUAGUCAUCGAGGUUUCAUUCUGUUAACAAAAUGGUCCUAUUAAAAAUUCAUUGUUAGAAUAUAACAUUUUAGUCCUUCUGAUUUCGCUUUUUAUAAUAGUUUAGUCCCCUUAAUUUUAAUAAUAUGCAACAAUUUAGUCUUUAUAGUUUUACUAUUUAUAACAAUUUAGUCCUUUUAAUUUGAGUUGACUUCUUCCAUUAAGAGUUGACUAAGAACAAAAUUAACAGAAGGACUAUUCUGUUAACAAAAUAAAAAUUUGGGGACUAAAUUGUUUACUAUUAAAAAAGUAGCAAACUUCAGGGACUAUGCUGUAAAAUGCCCAAAUAUUUCUGCUCUGGUUGUGAAAGGCCUCGGCAUAGUUUCAAUCUUUAAUGUAUUGGGGUUGCUGGAUGACUAAAAUGCUUGUAAUGUAGGGCCCUGAAUUUGCAACUAUUAUCAAUUCUGUAACAAGCAAGAAAGUUGCUGCUUGAUUAUGCACUAGUCUUGGCGACUCAAACAAACAAAGGACAUACAGCGGAUACAUCAGUUUGAAGCUUAUCACGAUCAACAUAUGAGCUAGUCCUUAUUAGGUGUAUUAAUCCAUUUUUAUUAAUUUCCCAGAAGAAAGAAAUAAUCUGUUCACUUGUAUCAAUGUUUGUAAAAUGGAACUGCUAUACUAUGAAUCAUGUAAUAAUCUCUGUGAAACAGUCUUUUUGUGACAAGAAGCUUACUUGAUGAAGUAUGUUAUUCUGAAUACAAAAAAUUAAAAAAAAAAAUCUUAUUAGCAUUCACAUGGGGCAUAUCAUAAAAUGAGGGAAUGGUCGUGCAUGGAUUGGUUCCCUAUCUUUAGCUUGUGCAAGUGCUUAUUGCUUACUUUUAGUAUUUAGUAUUUCUCGGGGAAUUAGCUGAAAUGGAAAUUAGUUCGCAGAUGUGACUGAGUUUGUUUGGUAUCGAGUUUGAGGAAUCAGAAAAGCACUUAACGGACCUUUACAUAUUGGAAAAUGGAAAUGCAUAUGCAACUGUAGUGUUUUCUUUUUCCCCAUGCGAAGAAGAAUUUUCUCAUCCAAUCUCGUGAGCUAAAAGUUUAAACUUCUUUCGAAAGGACAACCAAUUCUAAGUAAUAAAUAAAAUGAAUAGAAUCUAAUUGAAAUAUUUAGUUUAGUUCUAUUCAGUUAAUUAGUUUCUCUAUUCAAUGUAUACGCAUUUGUAUUCUCAAUCUAAAAUACAGAUAUGAAUGACAGCUGAGUAGGUAUUUUGGAUAUCUAACUCUUCUAAAUCUUAAUGGGAUAGAUUUGAACAAGUUUUAGGACGGAUUUGGACUAAAUGAGGUUUAAAGCUUUGGACUGAAUGAGGUUUAAAAGAUUAUACUCGUUGCAAGAGUUCAACACUAGGAUAUUUACUAUCCAAACUCAUUGGAUAUCCAUAUGUUCUCUAACUAAUUUAUUUUAUGUCAAAUACAUGAUGUAGCCUUUUACCUUUAUAAAAAAAAAAAAAGAUAAUUAACUUGAUAUUUUUAUUUUUAGCUUUUAAUACCUGAUAUUUAUAAAAGUUUCACUAUUUUAACUCCUAAAAUUUAUAAACAUAACUAAUAAAUUGUGAAAUUUUAUAAUAUAUAAUUAUUUAACCCUUGAAAUUUAGAGUAUAUAUAACUUACAUUAAUAAAAAGGUUAAUUUGCCUAACUGACCUUUUUAUAUAAAAUUUAAGGGUCAAAUUACAUAUUCAACAUUUAUUUUAUUUAAAACUUAUGGUUAAAGUUUUUAAUUUGUUUUUAUUCACGUUGUGGUAAUUAAGAUUUUUUCAUGACUAUAAUUAACUUGAAUUUUAAUUUAUAUGUCAUACCCUUUUAUGAUUUACUUAAUAAAAUUAACAUGUGAAAUGGAAUUGUAGUAUUAUUUUUAUUUAAUUAUUUUUAAGUAUAUAAUUUUUCACCAAUAUUUUUUCAUAUUCUGAAUAUGAGUUUACACUUUUUAGUAAAAAUAUAAAAAUAAUCAGAUUCAUAUAAUAUCAGCAAUAGUAGAAAAUGGUUCAGGAUGAGUAUAAACGAAAAAAAAANNNNNNNNNNNNNNNNNNNNNNNNNNNNNNNNNNNNNNNNNNNNNNNNNNNNNNNNNNNNNNNNNNNNNNNNNNNNNNNNNNNNNNNNNNNNNNNNNNNNNNNNNNNNNNNNNNNNNNNNNNNNNNNNNNNNNNNNNNNNNNNNNNNNNNNNNNNNNNNNNNNNNNNNNNNNNNNNNNNNNNNNNNNNNNNNNNNNNNNNNNNNNNNNNNNNNNNNNNNNNNNNNNNNNNNNNNNNNNNNNNNNNNNNNNNNNNNNNNNNNNNNNNNNNNNNNNNNNNNNNNNNNNNNNNNNNNNNNNNNNNNNNNNNNNNNNNNNNNNNNNNNNNNNNNNNNNNNNNNNNNNNNNNNNNNNNNNNNNNNNNNNNNNNNNNNNNNNNNNNNNNNNNNNNNNNNNNNNNNNNNNNNNNNNNNNNNNNNNNNNNNNNNNNNNNNNNNNNNNNCUAUUUUGGGUGCAAAUUUUAGUUUUUUUUUUUUGAGUCAUUUGUCGGGCAAUUGUAAAUAUUUUUUUUUCUUGUAUGAUUAAUAAUAUAUUUGCUUAAAUAAAAGAUUAGAAGAAAAGUGCAAAUCUUAAUCUUUUUUCUCUGAAUUUAAAAAAAUAUGCAAACAAAUCUUUAAUAUCACUCUUUUUCUCAUCACAUUUUAUGCGAGAAAAAUAAGAACUUAGAAUCAAGCUUUAAGAGUGCUCAUUAGCCUAACAAAAAAGUCUACUAAGGAGAUUUCCUCACUCAAAGCAUAUAUUCUCUAAGGACUAAAUAUUAAAGCAAAUCCACCCUAAUCACAUCUUGCACAAAAUUCACUCAAUCUUGAAAUCAAUUGGGAAAAAACAUGGAGUGGUUCCAUCCAAAAAGAAGGGGUCCACAGUGGAAACAUGGGUGGGCAAGCCAGACUUUGGCUUCCAUGUCUACACCACCACCACCUCCAUUGCUCACCAUUUUCUUCAUAGUUAUUCUCCUGUUGUGGCUCUCUCAAUACACAGGUUACAAGGCCCAGUUCCACCAAACAGCCAUCAACUUUCAGCUGUUUCUUUUCUUGCUGCCUAUUUUGCUUAUUUUCUUGAUAGCUUCUUAUUCCACUGACUGGAUGCUUUACUUUCGGCCCCGGCAGCCACAACAUCAUCGGAGUCGUUCGGCUCAUGGGGGAUCUUCGCCUUGGGUUAUUGCCAUCUUUGUGGCUGUGCUUCUUGUUUUGCUUUCUUACCAAUCUACCUUUCAUUCUAAAUGGUUUGGACCUCUUAGAUCAGAUUAAAUUAUAUAUGUUUUUUUAUUUUGAAAAGAAAAACUACAGGCAUUGUAAUGGAGCAUUGUGUUGGAAGAAAAUGUUCCCUUUCCUACCUUUGUAACCUGCUGUCGAAAGCAAAGUAGCCUAUAGAAUAUAAUUAAAUAUGAAAAUUUUAAUUUUUAUGCUUAAGAUUUUUCCAUAAUUUCAAUUUUUGUUCUUUUAGCUUUAUCCUGACAAGCAACCAAAUUGAAAAUGCCGAAAGUAUUAAGCGAUCAAUGUAGGAGAUGAGCCCACAGUCAGUUCUAAAUUCUAAUGGUUCCAGGCUUCAUUAACAUUGGACCACAGUCACUACUCAAUUAAGCAGGAAUGGGUUCUUCUCCUCAAAUUUUUUUUUUCACUGCAUCUUCACGGGAAAAACUUGUAGCACAGUCAAGCUUACAAAAGCAUGCCCCACCAUCCAUACACAAGCUACUAAAAAACAUGGCAACGUGAUUUCUUCCAGGAUUCAGUAGUGCAAGUUUGGUUUGGCUUGAGUGGACAAGUUUGGCUUCGGUCCCUCUCCUUGUAACUCUCUUUGUGAGAUGUUCCUUCCAUUGAGGAUGACUCUAGGUGGCCAAAGAAUGCCAUUUGUUGGAAAAGCUUGUCCUUUGCAAUUGUAAAUCAAUUUCCAACUAGGGUUUCAUUACAAUCGCUGAGAACUGCUCUAACUUGAUUGCUUUGAAUUUGAAUGUUUAAUUUUGUCGAAGCAUAGGUAACGAAGACUUGCAAGCUAUUGGGAAUUUUGCCCAAGCUGCAGUCCAUCUCCAUUAAAGGCUGCCUCUUACUUGGGACCACAAGACAUCAAGUUUAUUGUAAUCAUCUACUUGGUAAAGCUUCAGGCAUUGAACAUCACAGAUUUCUCCUUUGUUGUCAUAAGCACUAUGAGAAGACUGUUACCAAUCUUGUCCUAUCCGCAGUUUGCGGCAUGUGAGUGAGAAGGGUUCUUGGGUCAUGGGUAAUACUCAGGAUUUGUAGAAAUUAUUAUCUCUGGCAAUCUCUUCUUGUUAGGUAAUGCUCAACAGUAGUCGCCCUUUGAUCGCUUGAGAACCAUGAGAAAGAAGCAAUCCUUCUUGCAAGAAAUCGUUGGCGAAGGAUUGCAGUCUUUGCUUGAUGCAGUAUAGUUUAGUUUCUAGGGAGACCAUGUGGCUUGAAAUUGAAUUUAUGAUAUUCUAUGGAACAAAGGGCAUAAUAGUUAUUUCAACAAUAAUAAACCGCACUUUAACAAAUGUAUUACACUAAAUCAAAAUCUAUAAAUUAAUUAGGGUUCUCUAUAAAUUAAUUACUGUUAAAAUAAGUGUGAUUUGACUUUUUUUUUAAAUGAAAUUGAAACUUUAUGAUAAAAUAAAUACCCGUUUAAAGUAUGUUUUUUUCUUAACCGGUCGAUUCGACUAUUCGGUGAAUUAUGAAAAUUACCUUUUAUUUUUUUUUGAUGUGAUACAAAUCUGACCAAUGGCACCUUGUAAAUGGAGCGAUGACUUGACUUUUAAAACAAUUAUUAGCCAUAAACAAUUAAGCAAGGGUUGGUUAGUGCCUAAAAAAGCAGCAGCAGCAGCUUCAAAAUCAACAUAAAAAACUUCACUACUUCCUUUGUGAUUAAUUAAUUAAUUUUCAAGGUUCUGUUAAUAAUCAUUAGAAGACAUACAGCACAAGGAAAUAAAUUAGGAAGUUCUGUGAAUCCAAAAUUAUUCUUCACGAUAGAUAUCCAAGAAAAGAAAUACUAAUCUUACCCUGACUAUAUGAUUUCUUCAUAUUACCAUAAUUUCCUCUGCAUCCAAACAGGGUAAACAUUUGCAAUCAGAAAAGAAAAUGAAUUAGAGAUAGCCAAAAAUAAAUAAAUAAAGAUACCCUUCACUAAAAUCUCACAGAACCAUAUCAAACAAAGGCAGCAAACUCCAAUCAUACAGCUUAAUCCAUCAAAAAAAAAAAACAAACUCUCUAUAUUUAAACUGUCUAUCUUAUGAACACAAAACCCAAAAUCCAAAUUCUUGAAAACCAGACCCAGAAAGAGCAUAUACAGUGUCAAAACCAGCUAUCAAGAAAGGCAGACUGGAAUUGCACCAAAACAAGCAGCAACACAAUCAAAGCAGCCACACCCCACGGUGAGCUUCCCUCCGGUGGACGGUGGUAGGUCCGCCUUUUCCAUUCCCACGGUGAUUUAGCAAACAACAUGUCAGGAUUCUCCAUAGACGACAGCCAACGGACGAGGAAGAGCAACAGUAGAGGUGUGGCCAAAAGCAACAAGUUCAUUUGCAGCUUUGCAGUCUCCACAAUUUCUUCGUAGCUGAAGUACCAUGAUAUGCCAAGAAAGAUUGAGAUGACAGCCAAGAUUAGAAGAACUGGGUAUGGCAGAGGAUCGAGAGUGAAGGCCUCAAAGAUUGAGUUGCUUCUUCUGCCAUAGUAGUAGUAGCUCAUUUUCUUGGCUUGCAAGGCUUAUUACAAAUUAUCAUGGCUCGAGAGGCCUUUAAGAACUGCAGGCUCUCUUUAUUUAUAGCAAAAUUUGUGCUAAGGUAUGGUAAUGACUAUUGAACUAAGUUAUUUUAACCGUUGAUUUCUUGAUUUUGUUGUUUAGUCAAUUGGUCAAAUGAUCUGGCGGUGGUGAUUAUGCAGACUUCAGAUUUGUUAGGCCCAGUAAUCAAAUUUAGCUUUAGUGGUUGAGUACUUAAAGGUAAAGUUUAGACUAUUAACACCAAUGAGAGAUUUUUUUUGUCUUUUUAUCAAUGCUAGCUAUAAAAAUUUGUUGAAUAAAUACUAAAAUAAAGUUUAAUAUUUUACAUUACAUCAUGGUAAAACAAUAUAAAUUAUUUUUCAGGAGUUAUUUAAAAUAAAGUAAAAUAAAAUAUUUCCUGAGUACAUAAAUAAAAAAACUAAAUCCCUCACCCUAGAUCAAAGGUCUUGAACUUAAAUUUGAUUGGUUUAAGUUUAAUUUGGUCCAUGUUCUAAAUUGAUUGCGAGCUUUGAUUUUAUUAUUUUAUUUUUUGAAAUGAUUUUGUUCUCUUCGUCAACACAUAUACGAUUCAAAUUAAAAAAAUCGAUAAAACUAAAUUAAUUUAAAAGUUCAGUUUAAUUUUUUAUUUAUUUCGGUUUAAUUUUUAAUUUCAAAAAUUUUGAUUAUUUUGAUUCGAUUUAAUUUUAAUAAAAAAAUUAAAAAAAUCGAACGAACAUAUUAAAUUAUAUUAAAAUUAAAAUAUUUUAAUUAAAUUUUAAAAUAUUAAAAAUAAAGUGUAAAAAAUAAAAAAUCUAUUAAAAAUUGAAACCGAUCAAACCGAACCAGAUUGAAUCAAAUCAGACCGGUUUAGUUCUAUUUCUGAUAGAAAUCAGUUCGAUUUGAUUUUUAUAAAUACUAAAAUUUUGAUUUUCAAUUUAUUCGGUUCAGUUCGAUUUUAAAUCUAACCGACCGAAUGUUCACCCCUACUCAUUAGCCUUCGAUUUUUUUUUAAGAUUACUAUUUAGUUUUUAAUAUUGUUAUUAUUAUAAAACAAUUCCUAUAUUUUCAGAAAUUUAUUAAAAUGUGUUUAUCUUUUUUUUUUUCGUCAAUAAAAUAUUCUCUUCAUCAAUAAAAUAAUUAUUACGUUCUCUUCAUUAUGUUAUCUUUUUCAUUAAAAAUAGGUGAAUAAUGAGAGAAAAAAUUUUUAAAAUCUAAUUUUAUCCUCAAAUAAAAAUUUUUAUUUAGUCCAUUAAUAUUGUAAUUAUUAACAAGUCAGCGCUUACAUUUUUGAAAAUUUAUUAAAACAUUUUAUCUUUUCAAAAAUUUAUUAAAAUAUUUUUAUAUUUUCUCUCCGUCAACGAAAUAGUCCCUCCUCCUCCUCUUAAAGAAGAAGAAGAAGCGAAGAAGAAUAAGAAGUUUUAAUAGAUUUCUCAAAACUAAGAGACUGACUCGUUAAUAAUGACAAUUGUUACGUAAUAAAUAAAAGGUACGACGACCGUUCCAAAAGUCGAACGGUCAUUCAAGAUCAUAUGAAAGUCGGACAAGUCAAACGACUAUUCUAAAAGAUCAGGUCGGACGACCAAUCAAAGUCAAACGAAGAUCGGACAGGUCGAAUAAUCAUUCCAGAAGAUCAAGUCAGAUGACCAUCCAAGACCAGGCCAAAUCACUCCAAUUACAAUCAAUUAACCGGUCGGAUGAUGACUCCAAUAAAUCAGGUUGGACGAUCACUUUAAGAUGACCAGGUCUGACAACUAUUCUAAAAAUGACCGGAUUGGAAUUAAUGGACGAUCAAACGAUCACUCCAAGAUGACCAAGUUAGGUAAUUAUUGUAAAAUGAUCGGAUUAAUGAACGGCCAGACGAUUACUCCAACAACAAGAAGAAGAAGGGUAAGAAUUUGUUUUUUGCUAUAUUUUUAAUGGCAGAAAUAAAUGGAAGAAUGAUUUCGUUGACGAAGAAAAAAGAUAAAAAUGUUUUAAUAGAUUUUUUAAAAUCGAGAGACUGACUUGUUAAUAAUGGUAAUUAUUACGUGAUAAAUAAAAUUGUAACAGCCCGGAAACCGAACUGCCACCGGCACUNNNNNNNNNNNNNNNNNNNNNNNNNNNNNNNNNNNNNNNNNNNNNNNNNNNNNNNNNNNNNNNNNNNNNNNNNNNNNNNNNNNNNNNNNNNNNNNNNNNNNNNNNNNNNNNNNNNNNNNNNNNNNNNNNNNNNNNNNNNNNNNNNNNNNNNNNNNNNNNNNNNNNNNNNNNNNNNNNNNNNNNNNNNNNNNNNNNNNNNNNNNNNNNNNNNNNNNNNNNNNNNNNNNNNNNNNNNNNNNNNNNNNNNNNNNNNNNNNNNNNNNNNNNNNNNNNNNNNNNNNNNNNNNNNNNNNNNNNNGAAUUCCGAUGCCGGACUCGAGCCGGGUAUUACAAAAAUGUUGGACUGAAAAUCGAACAGGUUGGACGAUCAUUCCAUAAGAUCAGGUUGGACGAUCACCCAAGGUUAGAUGAAGGUCGGACAGGUCAAACGAUCAUUUCAAAAGAUCAGGUCAGACAACUACUCCAAUAAAUCAGGUCGGACGAUCACUCCAAAAUGAUCAAGUCAGAUAACUAUUCUAAAAAUGACUGGAUUGAAAUCAAUGGACGACCAGACGAUCACCCUAAAUUAAAAUGAUGGGAUUAAUGAACGACCGGCUGUUACUCCAAGAUGACUAGGUCAAAUAAUUGCUCUAAAAUGACUAGAUUGGAAUCGAUCAGAUAUUCCAACAACAGUUGAACAUUAUGACGCAUACUUUCUUCCAGAAUACUCAAUAGAACUGUAUAUAAACACAUUCUAUUCAAAUAAAAUAAUCAAGUUUGUUUUACUUUAAUGUCUCUGUUUCAGUCAAGUUUCUUUUUGUAACGACAAUAUCCAGAGACUAAAUAGUAAAUCUUUUUUUUUUUUUUUUACCGGAAGAUAAAGAAGUUUCAAUAAUAAUAAUGGCUUAAUUGUAGAGGACGAAGCCUAAUUACAAAGAAAAUAAAUAGAUUCUGAAGUUCAAAAGUCCAAAAACAAAUUAAAGCUGACUGGUCCAAGGAAAACUUAAAGCUAAUGAGAGACUUUCAAUAACUUCACGGCUACCACCUUCAUCGGCUCCACUACACAGCUGAAAACAGCAUUUCUGAGGAUACAACUAUCAAAACCAAGCACACUGAAGAGUUUCAAGAAAGACAACCAAAAGGGAGGAAGCAACAGCACCAAACUGGCUCAAAUUCUAAUAAGCAUAAUACACAAAUGAAGCCCCAAAACAGAAUGUCCACCUUAAAAACAAUUGAUCUAGGACGGAAUGACAGGAUUAGGGUACAUGCAAUCAAGAAGAACUUGGGAUUUGAAGAGUAGAGAUCUGAAUGCUAUUUAGGGCAUAUUUGGUUUAAUUGUUAGAUAUAGCAACUAAAUACCAUUUAAAGUAUGUUUGGUUUAGCUAUUAAAUAUAAUUGAUAACUAUUAUUGAUGGCUAAUAGCCGAUAAUUGAUUGUAAUUGGACUGAUUCUAAGUGAUAUAUGUUAAGUGAUUGAUAAAUUAUUACUAUUAGUAUGUAAAAUGACUAAUACGAAUAUAUAUUAGUUUAUUAUAUUAAUGAAAUAAAUAUAAAAAUUUUAAUUUAUUAUAUAAUAUAUAAAUAAUUAAAAUUAAAAUUUUAGAAUUUAAUUAUUUUUUAUACACAUGUUAAUAUAAUAAUGAAUAUUAUAACUAAUUUAAUUAUUGAUGCUCCCUCGAACAUAAAACCUGAAAAAAAAUAUGGUUCAAAACUCAUGAAUUCAAUAAAAAUAAGUCUAAAAUUUCGAUACUAAGUUCUAUUAAAAACCUGGUUUCUAAGAUGUCAAAAUCUUUAAUGAAUUAGAUUGUAACUAAAUUUUUGAAAGAUUGAGUCUUUAUUAAUCGAAUCCCUUAAAGAAUUCGACAAAUUCAAGGGAUUCGACAGUUUUUGCUGAAUCCCUAGAAAGGGAUUUCAAGGAAUUCGGUGGUCCGAAUCUAAGAAACUUGGCAAAGACUAUCGAAACUCAAAGAGUUCAGCAAUCAAGGUGGAAACAAAAUUGAUCAAGGCUGAAUUUUUUUUUCUUGGUGUGGAUCCGAAAACAAACACUCUAAACAAAAAGAUAACUUAAAGAGUCCAUAUUUUCAAGGGAUUGAGUUCCACUUUGGUCACAAAACAAAGAUCAUUAAAUCGUAUAAAAAGAAAUAUUUCAGGGAUGUUCCUCCUCAAGUUAUUUAUUUUAUAGUCUUGUUAUCAUACAUCAAUUACUAAUUUAAGUAUCGAAAGUUGCCAAACAAACUCACUGAUAUCCUCUUUACUCUUACAAAUUCAUAUUUGAUAUGUCAAUCCGACAAAUAAAUAAGAACAAUAUUAAUUAUUAUUAUUUAUAGUAUUUUUAAUUUAUAUAUUAUGUAUCAUAAUUUUAAAUAAUAUAUUAAUAUAAAAAUUAUAUUUUUUAAAAUUAUAAUUUAUAAAAAAUAAUAUAAUCUAUAAAAAAAAAUUAAAUUAAAUCAGCUAUUAAUUUAUUAAAAACCACUCUAAUUUUAGAGUUAUCUAAAAUACAACUCAUAAUUUUCAUAUGAGCUGUCCUUUAUUUUUUAAAAAAUUUACUAAAUAUUUAAUUUAAGUGUUUAACACUAAGAAUUGAUUAUGCAUACCAUAUAACAUCCAAUAGAAAAAAGACUGUCAUCCUAUUUUAUUUUUGGAUAAAAAAAUGCUAAUAAUAAAAUAAAAAAACAGAAAAAAAAUUUUUGAUUUCGUAGGAAAGCACCAAAAGAUUUGAAAUUGAUUCCAUAGCGAAAUUGGGGUUUAGCUUAGAGUAAUUUCUUAUCCGGACACGUAACCCAUCAAACCCACCAGCCCUAAACCCCCGGUCUCCGGAAUUUAAUAUAAUUCAAAGCAACCCAAACUCCCAAAGUCCUAAAUUUGUAAACUCCCGCAAACUAAUAAAUAAAAUCCACUUACGUAUUCUCUCUCAUUAAUUCUCUCCCACUUUCCAUCCUUUUCUGGGAAAAAUCAAUCCUUUUCGCCGAUGAGGCCGCAGCAAAGGCCGAUUCACGCCGUCACUUCAUGGGUACGGCGACAGCCGUCCAAGGUCAAGGCUUUUUUGGGCGUGGUGUUGGGGAUGGCCGCUCUCGUUUUCCUCAGAUUUAUUGUACAUGAUCAUGACAGUCUCUUUAUCGCUGCUGAGGCUGUUCACUCAAUCGGUAUCAUUGUACUUAUAUACAAGCUUACGAAGGAGAGGACUUGCGCUGGUAAAAAGAGGAAAAUUUUAGUUUUUUUUUUCUUUUGAUGGUAAUUGUAGGAAUUAGAGAGAAAUUCACGACGUAACACUAAGUUUUGGAAUUUCUUACUGGUUUUGCCUAUUAAUUUUGAUUUUGAUUUUGAUCGUUUUAUGUUGGGUUUCUUUCUUUGGGUUGUCGGGUGUUGUGCAUAAAUAUUGGCUUUUUUUAUUUUAAUUUAUUUUUUGUUUUACAUGAAUGCAAACUUCUGAAGAACAGCGAAAUCCUUUUUAUACCCUUCAGCUAGUUAGCUUUCUCGUAGGAUUCUCUUCUAUGAGUGGCGAGCUAUGAUUUUUUAUUUUUUUGUGAACUUAAAAUUUCAAGUUCAAUUCUUUGGUGGAUUUGUGCAUAUUCAGCUUGUUGGUGUGAGUGAUCUCUAUUGAAUUGGAUGAUAAAAAGAAUGUGCAAUGCAAAUUUUUUGGAUUGGUUGCUUAGGAUGGGCUAUAAUUGGCAUCGUCUUGCUUAGUGCGAGUACAUUCUAAUAGUCUCAUCGACUUAUUCCUUCUGGAUUCACUGUAGUAGGUCUGAGUCCAAUGAUAGGGGCAAAAGCCUUUUUUUUUUAGUAUAGCCUAUUUUCAUCAGAUUUUGUUUUAGUAAGGAUCCUUCUGGCUAAUCUUGUUUAGCUUGAAGUGGGUUUUUCUUACUUGAAGUCUCCUUCCAGCAAACUAACGGAAGGAUUAAUUGACACUUCACCAAUCUCAUUAAUUGACAAUAAGGGUUACAUAGGUCUUUAUUUUGUUUUCCUUGAAAGAUAUCAGUUCUUUCUUGACAAUCCAUUCAAUGAUUUGCAGGACUAUCACUCAAGUCCCAGGAAUUGACAGCUAUGUUUUUAGCUGUCCGGCUGUAUUGCAGCUUUGUGAUGGAGUAUGAUAUACAUACCUUACUUGAUUUGGCCACGUUGGCUACGACUUUGUGGGUCAUUUAUAUGAUCCGUUUCAAAUUGAAGUCUAGUUAUAUGGAGGACAAAGACAACUUUGCUAUAUAUUAUGUGGUGAGUAUACAUCUGAAACCACCUUUGCAGUUGUUGCUUGUCAGACUCCUUUCAUUCUCUUGUUAUUGAAUGAUGUUUUAUGUCUGACAUUCAUAUCUCUUUAACUGAAAUCCUUGUUUUCUUUUUUAAAUUUUUAAUUCUGAUGCAGGUGCUACCCUGUGCUAUUCUAGCACUUCUUAUUCAUCCAUCAACAUCUCAUAAUUUAUUGAAUAGGAUUUCAUGGGCAUUCUGUGUGUACCUGGAAGCUGUCUCAGUAUUACCUCAGUUGCGGGUCAUGCAGAACACAAAGGUAUUGUUGCAUAAGGUAGAAGAUUUAUGUUUAAAAGGUUUUUGAGUUGAAAAUUAUCAUCGUCUCUUGUACUUUCAGAUAGUUGAACCAUUCACAGCACAUUAUGUAUUUGCGUUGGGUGUUGCGAGGUUCUUGAGUUGUGCCCAUUGGGUUCUCCAGGUUUGUUCUUGCAAAAUUCAAGCUGUAUUUAUUAUGUUUGAGUUAGUUUGUAUUUGGUUUCAAAUGAUUGAGCCCUCAUCUAAGUUGUUGGGAACUAAUUACAUCUUGUAUUCAAUCUAGAUAGUUCUAUCUUGGUACCUGAAUCUGCAUGAAGGGAUGUCAGGAUAUCACUUGAAUUCCUAUUCUGUUCUUAUAUUUACUUAUAUUUUGAUGAUGUAUUUGCUCAGUUAUCCAUAAUUGAGCGGUAUCAAUGUUAUUUAGGAGGGUCACUUUGAAUAAUUCUGCAAAAUAUGUAAUACUUUUAUCAAAAUUUGUAGAACUUGCAUAUUUUAAAUUGCAAUAUGAUAAGGAAUUCAUGCAGAGUGGUUAUCAUUCAACAAUUCUCUUUUCCUGCAACCCAUCAUAUAUUCCUAUAUAUACCCUGUAAUAAUACAAAUCUACAAAAUGAUGUUGAGGCUUAAUUGUAUGUGGUCAUUUUACAAGCAUCCGUUUGUUUGCAAUCUGGUUGGUUAACUGGCACCACAAGUUAUUCUCCAUCUAUAUUCCUGUUUUGAUUCUCAUAUUAUUGCUUAUAGCUUGAACAGGUUUUAGAUACUCGUGGACGCUUGCUGGUAGCCUUGGGGUAUGGAUUAUGGCCUUCUAUGGUUCUUAUCUCAGAAAUUGUCCAGACUUUCAUCUUAGCAGACUUUUGUUACUAUUAUGUCAAGAGGUAUGUUAAUUUUUGAGCAUCUUUUCUUUUAACCAGGGACUAAAUAGAUGUGCCAUUUGACAUUUUUCAUGACAAUUUUGUCAUUCUUAUUAUGAAUUUCAAUUUGGGUUUUGCAGUGUGUUUGGAGGACAGCUUGUUCUCCGCCUUCCCUCAGGAGUGGUGUGAUUUAAGUUUGUCAUCUGUUGUGGUGCUUUGAGCAACAUAACCAUCCAAAAUUAAUGUUUCCAGGCAAUUUUUCCCCCAUACAUUGUUCUCCCCUGCUGUUAUGACUGGAAGUAGAGUAGGUCAUUUGUAAAUUUGGGGAUGCAGAAAAUCUGAUGGAUAUUUAUAUUUGAGACAGUUUUUUAUAGUUGGAUUAACUUAUUUUGUCAGUGCUGAUCAUUUACUGAAGUGUAUAGACCAGUCCCUUGCCUUUUUUUCCCCUUCUUAUGGAUAUAAUCCUUGUCAAUUUUGAAACUAGUUGGAUUACUUCUGAGCAAAUUGUCGAUAUUGGAGGUUGUCACUAGGAAUGUGAGGCGACAUUCUGUGUUGCUUUCGCUUAUUGAAUGUGAUUUUCAUAAAGUAACAGGCAUGAUUCUGUCUGCAAAUUGUUGGCAGAUUCUAAAAGACAUGAAUGCAUCGCAACUGCUGCCACAAAUGACUCUUGAUUUCAUCUGCAAAUUGUCAGCAGAUUCUAAAAGACAUGCCAUUAAUCUGCUCAUUAACGCAACAGCUUGAGCAUUUUGUUUAUAGUAUGCCCUUUUGUCCAAUGAGAUUUCUGUGUUCUCUGAAAUUUGAUGAAUCUUCGUCCGUGUAGCAUGCAAGUGUACAUUUAACACAAACUGAUCUCUGGAUGCUUUACUCCUACCACUUUGAUUAAUCCAUAUCUUGUCUUUGUUUAAAUUAAAAGGUGCACUUCCUAUCAGGCUGAGCACGUCGGUGCAUGUUGAAACUAUAUUCAGUAUCUGUUUUACAUAUUGAGCUAAUCUAAUAUGCAAGAUGACUGCACAGUUGCAGCAGCUCAAUUGAAAGAAAACAUCGAUAUUGGAUACGUCACUAAGAUCUAAGUUUGAGUGAGAGAAGAAACAAAAUGGAUUAUCAAGUUACACGGAAUUCAUUUUAUUAGGCGGAUGAAAAUUCAAGUACAGACAUCCCUGGUAUGACAUCUAGAGGGAACCCAGGUUAUUACAUAGAAACAUGACAUUGUAAUUAGACGGUGAGGUUCCUGGCAAGAAUUCCCUCAAAGGUAAUUCCAGGUCCAAAAGCGAGUAUCAAUCCCCAUUCACAAUUCUCAUUUUUCUCCUUGAUCUUGAAGCUCUCUUCUAUCAUGUACUCCAGCACAUAGACAAUGGUAUUACUGCUAGCAUUACCAUAGUCCAUCAGAGCUCGUCUACUGGCAUUUAGUUUCUCCGGCAGCAAAUCAAGUCGCUUUUCGAUCCUAUUCAAUAUUGCAGGUCCUCCUGGAUGAACUGCCCAAAACAGCUUAUUGUACUCCUUUUCUGCUACUCCAGCAUUUCUCAUUAACUUAUGACAGAAUCCCUCAACAUUGUCUUCAAUUAUAUGGGGAAGCUCCCUUGCCAGCUUGAAGCUGAUCCCUUCUUCUGUGAGCUUGCCAUCAAUAAUCUUUUCUGUUUCAGGCAAGAAAUUUUGGA